AAAAUACUAUUAAGUAGAAAAAAUAUCAGGCAUACAGUGCAAGAUAUCUGAAUGACAAUUGUGAGGUAAGAUUAGAGGUCAUAAGCAGACAGACUGGGGAAGGAAAGAUAGAUUUGAAAAUCAUCAAUAUAGAGAUGGUAGUCAAGGCCAUGUGAGCUGAUUAAAUCACUAAGUAUAAAGGGAAAACAAAAGAAGGCCGAGGUCAAAACUAUGAGAAACACUACAGUUAGAGGGUGAAUUUGGAGGAGGAUUCACCAAAGGAAACAGACAAGGAAGGGUGAGAAUGGAGACUGAACAACAUCAACAAGGAGGAGAAAAACAUGAAAACCUGCUACACACAAGAAAAAGCAGAAAGAAGACAUCUACUUUUUUAUUGAAAUAACGAAGACUAUCAAAAAAUCAAAAUCAGCAAGCAUCAGUUGUUGGAGAAGGUGUUAGAACGAAGAAGUGGUAAGCAGUAUAGAGAACUCCCCUCCAUAAAACUUCUCCAAACAGACCUAGAAAAUGUACCAAAUCAAAUCCUGAUACAGAAAUCCAGAAAAAGUCACAAUAAGUUAUUUGUCUACCCCAGCUUGGUAUAAGGAAACAGUCACUGGGGAUGGGAUCAAACCAAGAACAUGCUGCAGAAGCACUCUGCCAUCUAGAGAGAAGCCACACAUUGAUUGGAAGAGAUCUCAUACUGAUACCAUGGCACCACUAGACCCAUACCCAGGGACUGGAAUUACAACAGCCUUUUGUGUAGCGAAUUUCUCGUUGGGAACCCACCCUAAUUUGAUGUUCUGGAGAACUAGGAGACCAACCCAUAUUCCUGCCACGAUCCAUACCUCAUCAUUUGGUGGCCCGUACGGGGAUUUCUUUUUACUGAGAGGAGAAAAAGAGGAUCUGGGACCUGGCCCAAAAGUGUGGAGACAAGCUGGCCAUCACCUCCCCUGGUAGAUAUCAAGCAGGGGCUGUAGCAGUGCCUGUUGCAGACCCUGGGUGGAACUAUCAGGAGGGGAGCAGGGAUAGAGAAAAAAGGGAUCAUUUCCUAACCUGCCUCAUUUGAGGGUAUGAAAAAGGGGAUUAAAAAGCAGACUCUGGCUGUCGCUAUUUCCAAGGGUCCCCAAAGCUUGUGCUUUAGGUACAAUCAGCCCAGUCAUUGUGCGAAAAACUGCCCUCAGAAGAGCCAGCCUCCAGGCCCUUAUUCCAGAUACAGAUGGGAAGACACCGGAAGAACAAUUGCCCUGAGAAGGGGAGGACCACAGCCUCUAACCUCACCCUCCAGGCCUCUCCAGGCCGGACUGACAAGGCCCUGGGCUUGGCUAUGGCCCCCCACCUCCAUCAGUGAAGCCAAGCCCAGGGUGACUUUGGAAAUAAGAGGUAUGCCAGUUUCUUUCCUCUUUGACACUGGCACUUUUCUCUGUUCUGCUCACACAUUCGGGUUCUACUCGCCCCUCCUCCCAUAAGGUGAUGGGAAUUGAAGGGAAAAUUAGAUAUUGUUUGGAAACCCUCCCCCUGCCUUGUCCGUUCGGGGACCUAUUGUUUCCACAUUCAUUUUUAAUUAUCCCUUCCUGUCCCAGCCCAUUGAUGGGUAGGGACUUGAUGAUGAAACUGGGAGCCCAAUUCUCUCUGGUGAAGCCCCAGAUAAUCUCUGUGCACUCCUCUUCAGACCCCCUCACGUUCCCUGUGAAAUCUGGGAGGAAAUAGACUCUUCUGUGUGGGACCAGGGCAUACCUGGGAGAGCCACGAAUGCCACUCCAGCCCUUAUCAGAUUAAGGGAUCCUGGUGUAUUUCCUCAUAGGCACCAAUACCCAAUUAAGCAGAAAGAUAGGAUAGGGCUGCAGCCUUUAAUUGACAAGUUCCUUAAAUUUAAACUCCUGAUUCCUUGCCACUCCCCUUGUAAUACUCCGAUUCUUUCUGUCAGAAAGCUGAACGGAGAUUACCGGCUAGUGUAGGAUUUUAGGGCAAUUAAUGAAACAGUUGUCCCGAUCCAUCCCAUAGUGGCCAACCCAUAUACAAUUCUUGCACAAAUUCCAGGGAAUACACGAUGGUUUUCCAGUAUCCCUCUGCAUGAGGACUCCAGAUUCCUUUUUGCCUUUGAAUGGGCUAAGCCAGGGGAACUUCCCCAUCAACUAACUUGGACUGUAUUGCCCCAGGGCUUUCGGGACAGCCCACAUUUAUUCGGCCAAGUCCUAGCUAAAGAUCUGCGGGACCUUAAUCUGUCUGGCAGCAGUCUUAUACAAUAUGUUGAUGAUACAUUACUUUGCAGCCGACCAAAGAGGAGUCUCUGACAGCAGCCACAAAGACCUUAAACUUUCUAGCCUCGAGGGGAUACAGGGUCUCCCUACCAAAGGCCCAUAUUACCUGCCAGUCAAAUAUUUGGGUCACAAUUUCACCCCCAUCUCUAAUUGAGGAGAGGAAACAGGUUAUUUUAAGCCUCCCAGAUCCAGCAACAAAAAAACAACUGAGAACCUUUCUCGGCAUGGCUGGUUUCUGCAGAAUCUGGAUUCCUAAUUUUGGGAUUAUUGCCAGACCCCUCUAUGAUUCUGUUCAAGGUCCUGAUGACCUUCCUCUUGAAUGGGGACGGCGCAGGUCAAAGCUUUUAAAA